UUGACUGUGAGGUCACUAUGCAGGUUUUGUUUAGGCAACCACAUUGUUGAGGUGUCAUGGAUAAGUCUAGAAGGCGCUAAAUCACAGCAGGCUCCUGGGUCCCCUGACUCUUAAAAUCUGCUCUUCUCCUCUUCCGCAAAAGCCCACCAUUUUAGUAUUUCCAGCAACUACAGACAAUGAAUCAGAAAGGGUGUAGAUGCAUACAGCAUAUUUAACAAGGUCAACCUAAUGGACAGUCACAGACUAUGGACAUACAGAGAACUGAUUUACCCUCCCUUUCUGCACAGAGAACAUACUGAUGAAAUUGCUCCUAAGUAUAAGCUUAGUCUCAACAAAGUUCUACCUACAGUACUGGUUGUCAAUCAGAUUGCCUGGUAUGCUAUCUAAUUAGAAAUAAUCAAAAAAAGAUAACAGGAAAAUCUUCAGCAUUUGAAAGUCAUGCACAACGUUGACAACCCACAGGCUAACGAGAACUUUUGGAGUCUCAAAAUGUGGUGCUGCUUCCCACUACUUUAACACACUAAGAAAUGUAACCAUGAGUAGAUCAAUUAUAUUUCAAAACAUUACUAAUACCUAAACUGGGUAUAAUUUUUGCAUUGUGCAUGCGUACUUUACAAGACAGUUAACUUAAAGUUGGAGAUGAACUACUCUAGUUCAGUUAUAACGUAUGAGUCGCUAUACAAUACAAUGUGUACUGUAUGGUGUUCAGCAGAACAUCACCGUGCUCUUCCAAACUGUCGCUGGGGAUACAAAGGGUUAAAGGAAGGGAAGAAAUCCAACUCUUCAUCUGCCGUCUGUGGAUAUGGGAAGAGGUGUGUCCCGGGCUAGCAUGCAACAAUGUCAACUCAAAAAGGAGCUUUGCUUUGACACAAGAACCAUCUGGACAUAGGAAACGAGAAAACUGCAGAAGAGUUCCCUUGAAUGAGGCCUCCCCAGUCAGCCCCUUUCUUCAGAGGGCAGUGGCUUGUCAUCUGGUCUGUGGGGACGCCAGCCACCUGGAACUGUGAUUACAAAGCAGGGAAGGGCACCAACAGCCAGGAGAACUGGAAUUUGCCUUCAGAAGCAGAUAACAAGUAGGAAGUGCUUACACAGGUUGUCAGGCUUGUGUGCACUGAGGUCACAGGCAACUCAAUUUCAGUUCAAGGAUGGCUGUGUUUUUUCACUGGAAACACAAGGCUCCACCAUCAAAUAAAACUUUUUACCAUGCUUGGA